GGGAUUGCCCCAGUAACGGCGAGUGAAGCGGCAACAGCUCAAAUUUGAAAUCUGGCCCUAGGCCCGAGUUGUAAUUUGCAGAGGAUGCUUUGGGCGCGGUGCCUUCCGAGUUCCCUGGAACGGGACGCCAUAGAGGGUGAGAGCCCCGUCUGGUCGGACACCAAGCCUAUGUAAAGCUCCUUCGACGAGUCGAGUAGUUUGGGAAUGCUGCUCAAAAUGGGAGGUAUAUGUCUUCUAAAGCUAAAUACCGGCCAGAGACCGAUAGCGCACAAGUAGAGUGAUCGAAAGAUGAAAAGCACUUUGAAAAGAGAGUUAAAUAGCACGUGAAAUUGUUGAAAGGGAAGCGUUUAUGACCAGACUUGGCCCGGUUGAUCAUCCAGCGUUCUCGCUGGUGCACUCUGCCGGUCCAGGCCAGCAUCAGUUCGUCGCGGGGGAUAAAGGUUUCGGGAAUGUGGCUCCUCGGAGUGUUAUAGCCCGUUGCGUAAUACCCUGCGGUGGACUGAGGUCCGCGCUCUGCAAGGAUGCUGGCGUAAUGGUCAUCAACGACCCGUCUUGAAACACGGACCAAGGAGUCGUCUUCGUAUGCGAGUGUUCGGGUGUAAAACCCCUACGCGUAAUGAAAGUGAACGGAGGUGGGAGCUUCGGCGCACCAUCGACCGAUCCUGAUGUUCUCGGAUGGAUUUGAGUAAGAGCAUACGGGGCCGGACCCGAAAGAAGGUGAACUAUGCCUGUAUAGGGUGAAGCCAGAGGAAACUCUGGUGGAGGCUCGCAGCGGUUCUGACGUGCAAAUCGAUCGUCAAAUAUGGGCAUGGGGGCGAAAGACUAAUCGAACCUUCUAGUAGCUGGUUUCCGCCGAAGUUUCCCUCAGGAUAGCAGUGUUGAACUCAGUUUUAUGAGGUAAAGCGAAUGAUUAGGGACCCGGGGGCGCUAUUUUGCCUUCAUCCAUUCUCAAACUUUAAAUAUGUAAGAAGCCCUUGUUGCUUAAUUGAACGUGGGCAUUCGAAUGUAUCAAC
rnacentral:rRNA from 1 species